rnacentral:rRNA from 1 species
UCGAGCGGGCGUAGCAAUACGUCAGCGGCAGACGGGUGAGUAACGCGUGGGAACGUACCUUUUGGUUCGGAACAACCCAGGGAAACUUGGGCUAAUACCGGAUAAGCCCUCACGGGGAAAGAUUUAUCGCCGAAAGAUCGGCCCGCGUCUGAUUAGCUAGUUGGUGAGGUAAUGGCCCACCAAGGCGACGAUCAGUAGCUGGUCUGAGAGGAUGAUCAGCCACAUUGGGACUGAGACACGGCCCAAACUCCUACGGGAGGCAGCAGUGGGGAAUAUUGGACAAUGGGCGCAAGCCUGAUCCAGCCAUGCCGCGUGAGUGAUGAAGGCCCUAGGGUUGUAAAGCUCUUUUGUGCGGGAAGAUAAUGACGGUACCGCAAGAAUAAGCCCCGGCUAACUUCGUGCCAGCAGCCGCGGUAAUACGAAGGGGGCUAGCGUUGCUCGGAAUCACUGGGCGUAAAGGGUGCGUANGCGGG